rnacentral:rRNA from 1 species
UACAGAGGGUGCAAGCGUUAAUCGGAGUUACUGGGCGUAAAGGGCACGUAGGCGGCCGCUUAAGUCAGUUGUGAAAUCCCCGGGCUCAACCUGGGAACGGCAAAUGAUACUGGGCGGCUAGAGUCGAAGAGAGGGGAGCGGAAUUUCCGGUGUAGCGGUGAAAUGCGUAGAUAUCGGAAGGAACACCCGUGGCGAAGGCGGCUCCCUGGCUUCAGACUGACGCUGAGGUGCGAAAGCGUGGGUAGCGAACAGG